rnacentral:rRNA from 1 species
GAUGAACGCUGGCGGCGUGCCUAAUACAUGCAAGUCGAGCGAACAGACGAGGAGCUUGCUCCUCUGACGUUAGCGGCGGACGGGUGAGUAACACGUGGAUAACCUACCUAUAAGACUGGGAUAACUUCGGGAAACCGGAGCUAAUACCGGAUAAUAUAUUGAACCGCAUGGUUCAAUAGUGAAAGACGGUUUUGCUGUCACUUAUAGAUGGAUCCGCGCCGCAUUAGCUAGUUGGUAAGGUAACGGCUUACCAAGGCAACGAUGCGUAGCCGACCUGAGAGGGUGAUCGGCCACACUGAAACUGAGACACGGUCCAGACUCCUACGGGAGGCAGCAGUAGGGAAUCUUCCGCAAAGGGCGAAAGCCUGACGGAGCAACGCCGCGUGAGUGAUGAAGGUCUUCGGAUCGUAAAACUCUGUUAUUAGGGAAGAACAAAUGUGUAAGUAACUAUGCACGUCUUGACGGUACCUAAUCAGAAAGCCACGGCUAACUACGUG